rnacentral:rRNA from 1 species
UUACCGGAGUACUAUGAAUGUUGUAAAUUUAAAACUCAAAGAACUUGGCGGUGUUUUAGACCACUCAGGGGAACCUGUCUCGUAAUCGACAAUCCACGUUAUACCUGACCUUUCUUUGUUUUCAGUUUGUAUACCGUUGUCGUCAGGUAACUUUUUAGAAUAUAGAAGUUGGCUAGAAAAAAAAUGAUUUAGUACGUCAAAUCAAGGUGCAGCUAACAGAAAGGGGAGGAUGGGUUACAAUUAUAUAUUUAUAAUUACGGAAGAUUAUAUUAAAGUGUAAUAUUUAAAAGGAGGACUUGAAAGUAAAUUAGAUUUAUAAAAAUAAAUUUGAAUAAGGCUCUGAAACGUGU